rnacentral:rRNA from 1 species
AACGAACGCUGGCGGCAGGCCUAACACAUGCAAGUCGAGCGCCCGUAGCAAUACGGGAGCGGCAGACGGGUGAGUAACACGUGGGAACGUGCCCAAAGGUACGGAACAACUCCGGGAAACUGGAGCUAAUACCGUAUGUGCCCGAAAGGGAAGAUUUAUCGCCUUUGGAUCGGCCCGCGUCUGAUUAGCUAGUUGGUGAGGUAAUGGCUCACCAAGGCGACGAUCAGUAGCUGGUCGAGAGGAUGAUCAGCCACACUGGGACUGAGACACGGCCCAGACUCCUACGGGAGGCAGCAGUGGGGAAUAUUGGACAAUGGGCGCAAGCCUGAUCCAGCCAUGCCGCGUGAGUGAUGAAGGCCC